AAGUCGAACGGUAACAGGAAGCAGCUUGCUGCUUUGCUGACGAGUGGCGGACGGGUGAGUAAUGUCUGGGAAACUGCCUGAUGGAGGGGGAUAACUACUGGAAACGGUAGCUAAUACCGCAUAACGUCGCAAGACCAAAGAGGGGGACCUUCGGGCCUCUUGCCAUCGGAUGUGCCCAGAUGGGAUUAGCUUGUUGGUGGGGUAACGGCUCACCAAGGCGACGAUCCCUAGCUGG
rnacentral:rRNA from 1 species